rnacentral:lncRNA from 1 species
GGAGUCGUCGCGCCUCGGCUGCGAGUCAGGACUGAGGCUGUCCCCCUCCCGCCUCCCUCAGGGGCCCUGGCGCGGGUGCCUCCAGGUUCCACCCCUCACCUGCCCCUUGGUGUCGGGCCGGGACCCUGGAGAGGUCGUGAGGGAGUCCUGGGCGCGGGCUCCGGGAGGCUGCGGCGCGGGUCUGAGGUAAACGGCCCGGCCGCUGCGGGCCCUUGCGGGGGCUGGUUCCAGCAGCAACCGCCGGGCAGGGCCCCUCCCGACCGCGACCUCCUGUCCGCACCGUAGGGCAGCCGGCCGGGCCAGCCUCCCUCACAGGACUACCGAGGAAGAGGUAGGAUUUCACUCUGUCACCCAGGCGGGAGUGCAGUGGUGCGAUCAUAGCGGGGACUACAAGUGUGCACCACAUGCUUGUCUACGAACCUGAAGUAUUCUGAUGCAGUGGAGAGAGUGUAGAACUCUGGAGUGAAGAGAUCUGCCUGGAACCCUGACUCUAUCACUAGGAGAUUCCUUGGAAUGAAACCAAUGGGAGUCCAGGGUUUGGGAGAGUCUCAUCAGAGCAGAUGGGCGAGCAGCAGCCAGAACGCUUGUUGCCUUUGGCUGAGAACACUAUCCUGGAUCUGAAUGUCUUCUUUGUCACUCCAAGAGAUGGCCCUGGGACUGAGAAGUGGAUGGCAGCUGUGACAGCAGGAGAGGACUGCCUGAGGCUCCCCGGGCAGAGGCUCUGGUGCCAGGUUAGCAGCAGGACCGACGGCAGACCCAGCAGCCAGAGAGUGAAAGGUGGGUAAAUUGAGGCCCAAGGAGAGGAAUGGACUUGCUGUGGACAUUCCAAGAGCCCAGAGGCAACUCAGGCCAAGGCGAGUCUGUCUGUUCUGAAUCUCUUAGGUCAGUUCUGAAUCCAAACAGUAACCGGACAAGCCCAUUCUCAGGAGCUCCUCAGCUCCAUUCCGUGGGGGCUUGGUUACCUGUAACAGGGCCUCAACAGGAGGGUCAUAGACUUGCCCAUUGCUUCCAAGCAACAGGGAGUUGGCAUUGCCCUGCCUCCUGUGGGACUCGCAAACAUAAAAUCUCAGGCUCUCUCAUUCUCACAUCUACAUUACAUAGCACUGACUCUGUGCCGGACACUGUUCUUAGUGCUUUGCAAAUAGUAAUUUAUAUAGUCCUCAUUGACUGGGAAGCUAUAUUAAUUUUGACAUUAUUCCUGAGAAAAGCAUAUCCCUUCCUGGGUUCUGGCCCUGUUAACAGGAAUGUUUUAAAACUUUGUCUCUCUGAGCCUCAGUUUCUUCAUUUGUAAAAUGGGACCAAGUCGUGGACCUGUCAGCACUCUGCCCUCUAAGGGCAGAAUGGAGAAUCAGUGGGUGGAAAUUAUAGGGAGGCAGAUUGUAACUCAGGGUAGGUUAAGAGUUUUUCAGCUGAGCUGUUCACAGGAGAGAUGGCCUGCCUCAGGCAAUAGUGAGUUUCCUGUCAUUUGAGGCAACAGAGCAGAGCCAAGCAGCCACAGGGGUGUUGCAGAGCUGCCUGGGCCCUGGGCCACCUGCUUUGCUGGUUUUCAAACUGUUCUCAGCAGCAAACCUUGUCGCCCACAUUCCCAGGCAGUCACAGAGGUGAAGCUGCUGGGGAAGGGAAGGGGCUUAUUAAAUGUUUAUUGAAUCAGUGAAUUGGUGGGGACACCAGAGCCAACCCGAAGGCUUCUGGGAACACAGUAUGGAAAUCCCUGGUCUGUCCAAUUGUUGACUUGUACAGAAAAGGGAACCCACAAGGGGAGUCUUCCACCGUACUCUGCAAAGAAAGUCCCGUGUGGGGACAGAAACAAAACAUACAUUAAUAGCACUUGCUUAUAUAUGCAAAGAAUAUCUCUGGAAGGAUUCUUAACAUGGCCUUGCAGGCAGGGAACUGAGGGUGGGGGACAGGGGGUAUGGAGGACAACUUUCUACUAUACUAUACUCUUUUGUUCCUUUUUAAUGUUUUAGAGUGGGCAAAACAUGACUUUUUUUUUUCUUAAAUUGCAAAUAGACUAAGUUUAUUCAAAAGAAAUCUCCAUAGGCUGAGAGCCCUGGACCCUGGUGCCCACGGGGUGGGGACAGCAUCAGGGCCCAAAUGGAAUCACAGCUGAGCCUCAGCCAGGCCCAGCAGCAUAUCCUGGGCUGCAUCUGUGACCAACACACUCACAUCUUGCCGUCUUAGACCCCAAACAUUGACCAUCCAGCUGGAAGGGAUGCCAAGGCUGUCUAGCGUGACACACCACCACUCUGGGGUGCCCAGGCAUGUCAGAGAAUGUGGGUCCCAGAGCUGCUGCCCACCCUUUGUGGAGGUGCCCUCUGCAGCUCUGUGUCCCCCGGCUUGCAGGCUGCCCCUUUCUGGGGAUCUCCAUUACCCACACUGGGGGCUCACCCUAUGGUCCAAGAAUAUGCCCCAUGAUUCCAGCUGGGGCUUUAUGUGCACAUGUCCCAACCUGAGGAGUAGGUGGAGCCUUCCUAAGUUGUCCAAAGGAGUCAUUGAUCCAAGAAUUGAAGAGCCAUGGACCCACAGGGAAACCUCCAUUCCUUCCCCUGGUACGAACAGGCCUGACUUGGCCUCCACCUUUCCUGCCCACUCUGUUCAUCUCUCUCUGUCACUAGGCAGCCAGGCCACCCUUCCCUACCCAGUGCUCACAUGCUCAUUCCUUCCUCAGGGUCUUGUCCCAGGCUUUGCCCCCCUCCUGACACACCUGCCCCCACACUCAUGCCAGUGAGACCCUGCCUGCCCGUCCUGCAAGACCCACUGGGUGACACCUCCUCCAGGGAGCCCUCUCUCCCAAUCCUGCCCUCUUAGAAGUGUUAGGACUUCGGGCCUCACCACCAGCUGCCACCUGCACCUUGGCCUGUUCCUCAAACCAGCGAGAACAUCCACCAAGGGCUGCUGUGAGAGCCAGGGAGGGGACAGUGAGGCAAAAAUCCCCUGGGAACUGGAAAAAGAAGCCUGUGUCUCUCACCCUGAAUUCCCUAUCCUCUGGGAACACAGAGAGCUACAUCUCUGCCUCUGGCCUGAAGUCUUUCUCACAGAGUUCCUCGACUAGGCCCUGUGCUAGCCCAACAGGUUCCCUGAACUUGGAAAAUAACAGAUUUUUCCAAAACUGAGUUCUUUUUUUUAAAAAAAAAGUUAAUGGAGAGUGGGGCAGGCCUGAGGCUAGACCCAGGGCUAGCCGAAUGGACCUUUCUGAGUGGAGCAGGAAACGGCACGUAGAGGAGGCUGGAUUCCCAGCUGAGAAAGGAGGAGGGAGGAUCCUGAGGCAGGCUGUGACUCCAGCGCCGGCCAGGAGUGUCACCAAGUUCCUUUCAUACCCCGCUUGCUCUCGGGAGCCCACAUGGACACCUCCACAUGCCCAGAGGCCCAGGGGCCCUGAGGAACAGGAAAGCGAAGGGACCUGCGGGCCAGGAACAGCCUGAAGGGCCCUGGAGUCCAUCCACAUCAGGAGACACUCGUAUGUCCUUCCCUGCUCUGGCCUCCCCAUGAGUUUGUGAGUAACAGGAGGGUCAGAACAUCCGCCUGGCCACAAUGCAGGCCAAGAGGAUGACAGGAGAUGCUGAGCUGACAUCCUUUGGCAACUGCAAAGCUCUCUGCCCUCAAGGGAGGAUGAACAUCAUCGUCGUCAUCCUCUCCAGGGCCCCCUGCAGAAGAGACCAGCCUAAGCCUUGCAGAGCCUCAUGGAGCAGAGUCAAAUGGCUCAAGGUCUGGGUGGAACUAAGGUCCAGCUCCAAGGAAGUUGGGAUGAGAUGGGUAGAGGAUAGGGGGCAGGUCCAUGGCUCUGAACCCAAAGAUCUGAAUCCCCACCCUCCCCACGCCUCCAACCCUCCUCAGGGUCCCUGUCACCCCAUCCACUCACUGGACCUUCAGAACACCUUUGUGAGCUCAGAGGGGCAGAGAGACUUGUCCUAUUUUAUGGAUGAGGAAAUGGGCCCAGAGAGAGGCAGCUAACUUUCCAUAGCCACACAGCACAUCCUGUCCUACUACAUAGGGAGUCAUUCUCUCAACUCUCAGAAAACAGAGAAGGAAAGGGAGAGACAAAAGAGAAAAAAAGUCGAGCUCCUUUAAAUUGAGAACGGCAGCCCUGAUCAUACCCUUUGAAUCAGAGAAAAAAGUGAGAGCUUGGCCUCUGCUUCCCCAUAGAGCAUCCCAUCAGUGUGCAGACUCAGCUUGGUUCCCUGAAGUCCCCUCCAGUGCUUUGUUCUCUGGCCCACCUGGGCACCUGCAGACAGGGCCCCUCCUGGGCCUCCGUGUUCUGAGCUGCCACUGGACGAACCUAAACUCUGCUCUGCCCGUCGCAGAGCAAUGGAUGGAGGCUCACCAGAGACUGCACUUGGAGUCCGACAAUCCCUAAUUCCACCCCUCUCAGGGCUGGCCAGGGUCCCCUUCUCCUUUGCCGAGGGUUCUAGACUCUCCUGGGAUAGAGAGCAUCUGACAGGGCAGUGUGAGGUCCAGAUUCCUCCCCUUCCCUGGAGCAGCCCAGUGCAGCUCCUGCUCCCACUUAGAGCCCAGGUGACAGGGACAGCCACCUGGUGCAGGCUCUGCGAGACAGGCUGCUCAUGACCGCUCCCCAGUGACUGAAGUCACAGUGGGGAUCAGGCCACAUUUCUUUCCAGGACUCGCCCCAGCUCCACUACCAACUCGUUGUGUGGCCCGGAAACAGCUGGCUGUCUUCUCUGAGGCUCAUUUUCCAUCCCGAAGAUGAGAGGAAAUGACCUCUAAGGGCCCCUUGGCUUUGACGCUCUAAAUUUCCAUUUGCUCAUCUAGCUGGGUCCUCCUUCCUGCUGGGGCACCCUCAACCUGCUGUGGCUUCCUCUUUAGAUAGGCACCCACCAGUUUCAGAUAAUUCACCGCAGAGAUGGUGCACCCUGCUCCCUGACUCUCAAGAGGCACCACCUCAAGCCUCAUACAUGGCCUCAGGGCCCACAACCACCCAGGCUGUGGAACCCAGCUCUGUGGCAGAGGGGCCAGGAGGUGGGGCAGAAGGCCUCUGACGUCCCCAAGGGAGGGAUGCACUUUCUAGCCUCAUCUAUGGCCUGGGUAGGUGGAAUCCAUGCCGAGUAAUUCAGCCUCUGGGAAAAUCUUCAUUUGCACAAUUACUUGGCUGAAGUCACUUCACAAAAGAUUCACCAUAAAAAUCCCCUCCAACAGCCAGCCCCUGAGCACACUGGCUGCCUCUAAGACGAUGAGUCCUUGGUGACUUGAGGAGCAACAGAAUUUGCAUAUAGGUCCAAGUGACUCACUGUGGCAUUCAACCAAGUCACUUCCCCUCUCUGGGUCAUUUUCCUAAUGUGCACACUGCAAGGCUGGCCCAGAGGAUCUGGGGGAAGGCAGGUGGCGGGCGGCUCCUAACUCUGAGGUCCUAUGGUUUCCCCUGGCUCCCCACUCCACCCCAGCAUCAUCCGGGAAGUUUUGCUUGUGUGUGAGGAAUGGCCCAGACACACCCGCUGGCAGCACGUGGGUCACUGGGACCACAGCUCCCUGCUAAGCCCAAUGCCAGACCCUGGCCACACUCAUCUGCCAAAAAGCAGAGCACAGUUGGCCUCAGGCAGCCUAGGGGAACCCAGGCCGCCUGGGAGGGCCAGGCUGCCCUGCGCCCAUAGGGGUCAGUCAGUUCGGCAUGACUGCUGGCCACGUGCUGGCCCUGGGGAGCCCCUGCUGAGCCUGGGGCCCCGUCGCCAGCUCACCAUGCUGACACUGCAGACCAGGCCCUGAUCCCAGGCUCACCCUGGCUCCGGGCACAGACCAAAGCCUGGGCACCAACAGCCUUUGCACAGAUGUAACCCCGGCCCUGCUCACCGGAGCGGGAUGCGGAUGGCAAUGUAGCGG